rnacentral:misc_RNA from 1 species
UUUCCGUAGGUGAACCUGCGGAAGGAUCAUUAUUGAAUACGUUUGGUUCUGAAGCUGGCUCUUCACUGAGCAUGUGCUCGAUCCAGAAAUAUUUAUCACCUCUUGUGCACCCUUUGUAGUCUUUCAGAGCAAGUGAUAACUCUCGCAGCAAUGCGGUUUGGGGGUCUUGGGCGUGAGCCCUUCCCCUGCGUUUGCUUCUUUGGAGGGUUAUCUUUUCAUAUACACUAUAAAGUUACAGAAUGGCCUUUAAAGAUUGUGCUAGUCGCGGUCAUGAAACCAAUACAACUUUCAGCAACGGAUCUCUUGGCUCUC